UAGGGAAUAUUAGUAAUGGGCGAAAGCCUGAACUAGCAACACCGCGUGUGCGAAGAAGGCCUUCGGGUUGUAAAGCACUUUUUGAGAGGAUGAGGAAGGACGGUACUCUCAGAAUAAGUCUCGGCUAACUACGUGCCAGCAGCCGCGGUAACACGUAGGAGGCAAACGUUAUCCGGAUUUACUGGGCGUAAAGCGCGUGUAGGAGGUUUGGUAAGUAGAGCGUGAAAGCUCCUGGCUCAACUGGGAGAGGUCGUUCUAAACUGCCGGACUAGAGGAUGGUAGAGGGAGGUGGAAUUCCGGGUGUAGCGGUGGAAUGCGCAGAUAUCCGGAGGAACACCAGUGGCGAAAGCGGCCUCCUGGACCACUCCUGACACUCAGACGCGAAAGCUGGGGUAGCAAACA
rnacentral:rRNA from 1 species